AUUGCCUACUUCAUAGUAGGGACACUGACUAUGAAGGACACACUGGGGCUGCCCGGGCCGGCUUCACCCAGUCCAGGAGUAGCCAAGUCAGGCCUUAGCCCAGGCCUGUCUUCACGUGCCACUGCGUCUAGCUCAGACCUGGGCCAGCCCCUCAGGAAUGAUGGGCUCAUGACACAGAAGGAGGCCUUGGAACACAUUCACCUUUGACCCAGAAAUCCUGCUCAUAAGAACUUAUCAUGGAGAUGCCAGGGGACCACUGCAAGUGGAUGCAAGGCCAGGGAGCUAUGGCAAAAUGUUACGGAAAAGAGUCCAAGAGCAGAUGCCAGGCAGAUGCCAGCCUCAUAUCCACAUCCCCAGAUGGCCUUGGAGAAGUGCCAUAGACUGACGUCCAAACAGGGCACUCGAGGAAAGAAGUUCCUAUCUUUGUGAUAAGUUCAUCAUCUCAUACAGAGAAGGAUCUGGAAGGCGCCAUACCAAGGUGCUAACAGGUCCUCUUGGGCAGUGCAACAUCAGAGACUAGCUUUAUAUUCUUCUUUAUGAUUUUCCAUUUUCUGAUAUCUCAAAAAACAGGAAAUUGUUUUAUAAUCAGUUUAAUCAGUCAUUAAACUGAGUUAAGAUAUAAGAUCCUCUAAAAAAAACAGUGUACUUGAUGAUUUGAAUGGCAUCUGAAAAGGCUUGAACAUAAUAUUACCCCAAAGAGGUCACCAGACAAGAUGUGACCCAAUGUGUGUGCAUGAAUCCCUGCAUCUGUAUCCGUACCUAGAUGCGUACCUAGAUCCGUACCUAGAUGCAUAUCCAUAUCUACAUCUAUUCCUGGGGCUACCCAUUGAGGGGGUAAACAGCAGAUAAUGUUGGUUUUCGUUUUGUAUAUCUAACUUUUUUCAUUUUUUCAACAAUAAUUAUACAUUUAUUGUGCAGUCAUGAAAAAUAGGUUUUUGUCACUUAAAUCAGCAGGUUCAUUCCAAUUCACUUGAUAUUUUGUGUGCCUGCUACACCCCAACAGGCAGGGGGCAGGGUUUGAGAUUACACUGAUGAGAAGAUAGAGUGGUCUCUCUUGAGUAGUACAGUGGAGGAUUAUAUGGAAAGAGGUCACUAUGAUCCUAACAUGGAUUCACAUCCUCUGCAUCUUAGGUGCUGCCCAAAGUCCUGAAAUUGUCUCACAGCUCCAGCCAGCACAGAGGCAGGAAGCCCAGGGAAAGUGGCUGAGCCAUAAAAAUGGAAAGAGAUCACGCCUGUAAUCCCAGCACUUUGGGCGGCUGAGACGGGAGGAUAACAAGGUCAGGAAUUCAAGACCAGCCUGGCCAAUAUGGUGAAACCCCAUCUCUACUAAAAAUAUAAAAAUUAGCCAGACGUGGUGGCGGGAUCCUGUAGUCCCAGCUACUUAGGAGGCUGAGUCAGAAGAAUGGCUUGAAUCUGGGAAGCAGAGGUUGCAGUGAGCUGAGAUCGCAGCACUGCACUCCAACCUGGGUGAUAGAGCAAGACUCCAUCUCAAAAAAAAAAAAAAAUGGAAAGAGAGGGUAUUUGGGGGGUAUGAGUACCUAGCAGCAGACAUUUAGCAAAGAGGAUUGAAAAAUGCACCCCCUUAAAAUACAGUUAAACACAGAGGAGGGAGCAACCACAAAAAAAAAAAAAAAAAACGUUGAAGCAAUUUCUGCAAAGAGCAAUAAAA
rnacentral:lncRNA from 13 species